UUCCUGCCCAGCCACUGGGGCCGUGUCGAGUGGUGGCACUGCCAGCCCUGCAGUGGGAUGUAGCCUGGAAAGUGCACAGAGCUGAGGCAAGGGAUUUAAAGGGACCAACCAAGGGAGGUGAAGAAAGAAAGAAGAAGGGAAGUGAGACAGCAGCCAAGCAGCACUAAGUUCCUGUGUAAGCAGAGGGAUAAUAACUCCUGUCAGCAGCAAGGUCCCGACUGAAGUGGCAGCUGCAGUUGUUCCUGUGGUGUGGGCCAGUGGAAUUCCAAGAAAAUGGACAAGGACAGAACCUGCAGAAGAGCCCAGGCCUGAGCUGGCUGAGUGUUGGUGUGACCCACAGUGGGUGUCCCCUGCCCUUGGGACAGUCCCCAGAGCUCCCUUUGGCAUCCCCUGGUGAAGGGUGGGAGCUGCCCAGAGCCAGCAGCAUCCAGCUGGAGGAUCCAGGAGGAUGCAGCUGAUGUUGCCUGGGAGGUGUUGACUCAGUACCUUUCCUGGAGCUGCUGUUGGAUGAAGAGGUGCCCCCAAUUGACCUGUAAGGUCCUGGUUUUCUUCCCUGCUUCUGCCAGCUUGUGCAGGAGAUGGAAUUCCAGUGCUACAGUGUAGAUGGGUGGUGGUGCUCCCAAAAGGAGCCUUUGUGCCUUCAGGCCAGGUUCUGGUGCCCCUGGAACUGUUGGGAGAAGCGGAGGGUUGGCAGUGAGAGGCCUGGAGUGAUGUUGCUGUGGCACAGAAGAAAUGAGCAGUGAUGGUACAAUUGGCUCUUUUCUCUUGAAUGUAAUGGUAGGAGCUGCAGGAGUGCAAGGUGUGUGUUCCAGUCCCCACCAUUUCGUUUGCACGUGUCCUGGUCAGACACAGGUCCAACUUCCUCAGUCCUUAACCCAAGAGAGGGAGAAUUAAGGACUGGCAGUGUUAAGGUGAUUGGUGUGACAGGGGUUAAACUGGGAA